ensembl:processed_transcript Gm10125 predicted gene 10125
CGGCCGCCGGAGCCGCUAGGCGCAGAGGCAGGCUGGCACCUGUGCAGUGGGAGAGAGUUCUUGUCACUGGUGACUCAUCGUGCAGGGAGCACAAGGAAGAGCAAGGGGAUAGUGUCUCACAAGUGUAGGGCUGGAGCUACAGGAACCAUCCAGGUGCACUGGCUUGGCCUCUGCGUCUUUCUGUGCCACUGUCUCAUUCUGUUUCCGGCUGUGCGUGGAUGCGGAUGGCCCAGAGAGNNNNNNNNNNGAUGGCGCCGCCUCAGAAGCUCUGUGGCUCUCGCCUUUCCCAGAAACGGCUGGCCUCUGUAUUCCACACCCUCACCAGUGCAGCCUGCCCUCCGCGGAGUCCCGGAGCCAAGGAGACUUCUGCUGCGGCCUGAGGCAGAAACCUCUCGGGCUGGGCGGACCCCUUUGCUCUCACCAGGAAGGUGGCCGGUUGUCUGGAGCCGAAGAUGGAGCUACCUCAGAAGCUCUCUGGCCUUUUUUUUUUUUUUUAGUUGUCUUUUAUUUUUACAAAGCUGGAGACCAAAGUUGGGCUCUUUUCCAGGUCA